rnacentral:sRNA from 1 species
UGCUGUAUAUGUGUGUGUAUGCUACUACUACUUAGUUGGGGUUAUAGGCACUAUCCGGCGGCGCCAGAAUAGAAACAAAUAAACGGGUACAGUUUAGCUUUUAAAGAAAAACCGCCUUUGGGCUUGUUUUUCGAAAUCUUGUUUCGAAGGUUAAACGUUGCCCCUACGAAUGUUCCAAUAGUAUUUUGCGGUUGGCGAAAGAGCAAAGGCAAACAAGUGGCAAAAGGUAGCAAGAAGAAGAAAAAAGAAAGAAAAACUAAUUACAUUUGCAUUGCUGAUGCCAUUUUAUGUCUAUGCAAACAUAUAUGCCCGCACAGAGAUAUUGAAAAACAGUACUAUGAAAUUGUUGUAGCUGUUUUUUUUUCUCUGAGUGCUUUGUUUACCAGACAAAUUGAAUUAUGUGCCACGAAAAAUACGCUAUUUAUAUAAAACAUAUAUUUGUAAUGUGUUUUUGUCGUGCUUUACUAAACUCAUGAAUAAUAAAUGCGAUCGGCACGUGCGCCACUUAAAAAAAAAAUAGCAAAACAGCAAAUAUGAAAUGGCUAUAAAUAGCAAAAGAAAAGAAAACGAAAAAAAAGCGAUAACGAUAAAACGCACAGCCAAUCGAUGACUGUCUGACGUGCUGUCUACGGUGUCGUUCGCAUGUAUGUGUGCAUGUGAAUGCAUGUGUAUUUGUACAACACAAGUGGUCUCCAGCACACACGCAUAUGCAAAUACAUGUUUCAAAGGCCAUCGGCUGAUUUCUAUGGAAAUACCGCUAUUAUACGCGUGAAUUCUUGGGGGCAAAUAUGCGAAUCGGCUCACGUUUUACACAACGCAUUGAAAUUCGCUCAAAUUCAAUAUUAAUAGGCAUAAUCACAUAACUAUUUAAGCAUGUGACAGCAUCAGACAGACGUGAUAUAAAACAACAGGGCGACUAUACAGUUAAUUAUUUCUCUUGCACAUUUCACUUUAGCCCACAAUCUAGGUACGACAGCUAUGUAUGUACAUACUAUAUACGUAACUGCAAAUGGGUCGCUUGGGUAAACAUGUCAAAUGGCUGAAAACUGCUGCAUAAAGCUGUCUGUAAAUAUGCUUAAACGUUAGAUAGAAUGCUGGCUCAAAGCAAACAUGUACCGCAAUAAGAAGCAAUAAAACACAUAUGCAAAGACACAAUUUGAGAGAUUUAAAACAAAAACAGUCAACAAAUAAACACAGUCAUUCGUUGUUUUUUUUUUUUUUUUUAUUAUUGCUGUAGCAAUGACAAAAGCAGGCAGCGAUAAGAUGGUUGACAGCUUUAUGAUGUUUAUCACGUUGAUAAGAUAACGCGAAAACGUGUAAAGUGGCAGAAAUGCAGCCUCCUUCAAUUUUAUGAGCUUCUUAUUAAACAGGUUCUAGCAUAUUUUCUAUUGAAAGCUCUUCGUUUCAUUAGUCGAUUGACCCAAUAUUGUAUUGUUCUGGCAACUCUUGCAACGCAUACAAACGCGCGAAUAUACAUAUACAUAUGUAUACACAUACACUCACACAACCAUUAACGACGCUUACUUGCCACACAGCUGAGUUGCAUGGCGAGUGGAAUUUUCCAUUGUUUGUCAAUACAUGAAUUGCCCGUUUGCUUGGUUGUGUGUGGGAAUGUGUAUGUGUGUUUUGUUUGUGACGUAAGGUAGGCGAACAGUGGCUACUGCUGGGCCAAAAACCGCGCCACGAAGAGGCAGAGUUGCACUCAAUGGAAGAAGCUUCCAGCCGGAUGACAAACAACAACAACAACAACAAUGGGUAAAUAUAAAUACGCAGCGAAAAAAAACCGGUCGCAGUUUCAUUCUGCUUGGUCUUAUUAGAUAUUUCCUAGCUCUACUGCAACUGAGAAACGUCUCUUUACAAAGUCAUAAGGGUCGAACUUUUUUUUUAUUAUUAUUAUUUUUGUUGUUUAUUUUGGCAGCGAGAUAACAUACCAGAGUGCAAACAAUGCUGACGAGGCUGCUCGUCGGAUACGGACACUCAGAUAAGGGCGACCAAUAAAAGUCAUAAUGUUUACCGCGUAAUAACUGUAAUUUCUAGCAAAACUCCGUUUGUUUUCUCGCAGCCGUCUAGAAAGUUCCAGUCGCCGCAUACAAUACAGUUGCAUUGCAAGACAAGUGCAAGCAGCACACUGCAUAAACGGCACUUGUCAAAAGUCAAGAGAAUCGAGCAAAUUAAAAGCGAAUUACAGUAAAAUUGUGUCUUGGGGUGAGAGCCACAAACAGGCGCACAAGAUGGCUGCUACGAAGAGAAAAACAAAAUAAAAUACGCAAAAUAAAGUAAAACAAUUACAUUUCAAAAAAA